UUGUGUUUAUAGGAUUUGUUAUGCAAAGAAAAUAAAAAUAGCACAAAUGAGUUUUAAAUAAUAAACAGAAAAUUGUGGAACACGGGUGGACCACGAGAAAAAUAAUGGAGAGCAUAAAAUAUAUAUAUAUAUAUAUAUAAUAUAUAUACAUAUAAAUAGAUAUAGAUAUAUAAAUAAUAUAUUUAUAUAUCACAUAUAUAUCUAUAUAUAGAGGGAAUUGGAAGAAUGGUGUGUUAAUUAUAUUAUUAUAUGUAAUAUGUUAAGGUGGAAUGUGGUAGGUGGGCAGUGUGAACGUGGAGGGCAGCCUUGCUGCCAUAAAGAAUACAAGAGCAAUCCGAAUGGGGGAGGAAGUGGAAGGCAGCGUGGCUGCCAAAGAAAGAAAACAGAAAUAAAGGAAUAAAGGUGAGGAGCGCACAGAGAUAUAAGCGAGGUCAGGAGGAAGCCAAAGGGAGCACGGGGAGAGAGCUGCCAUUUGGCAGCUGGGGGGAAGAGAAGUCAGUACGUGCAGGACCACGGGUUGCUGCCUUUGGCAGUUUGGAGCAGUGAAAGGACAGGCGCAAAGAAGGGAAGGCACUGAGCACGUGGAGCGGGAGAAAGGACGGAAAGGGCGGUCUUGAGGUGAGCACGGGAAAAUCAGGAACCAAAGUCAGCACGCUGCCCUUGCAGCUGGAGCAAAACCGUGAGACUAGAGGACUGACGCAAGGGAUGGGCGCUGCCUUGGGCAGCAUGUGUCAGAGGUGCGCAGAAAGAUGAGGAUGCUGCUUGGCAGCGUGUGUGAGCUGGAUGCAGGGCAAGAACGCAGCAAAUUAUUCUCUCUCGGUUAAUCCUCUCCAUACUUAUAUUUUACUGUUGGUUUUAUUUUAAUAAUGUGUAACUAAUUNNNNNN
rnacentral:lncRNA from 1 species